rnacentral:pre_miRNA from 1 species
AGGGAGAUCACCUCAGGCGUACAGUCUUGUCAUGUAGCAUGUAGCCAGACCUGAUCUCCCUGC